rnacentral:piRNA from 1 species
UGUGUAGCUGUUUGAGGACUACAUUCAGUU